CACCUUGUAGCUCAGAUGGAUAGAGCAACCGCCUUUAUGUGGUAAGUCGUAGGUUCGAUUCCUACUAAGGUGGCCA
rnacentral:tRNA from 1 species